rnacentral:lncRNA from 1 species
AGUAACUCCACUUUUUAUGUAGUACUGAGUCCAUCUCCCUUCAACAAAGUUGCACAUUCAUAGAUCCUCUACCAUUUUGAUAUAAUGGUCCUAAGCUAAAACCCAAUGGACUGAAUAAUAAAAGGGCUUCAAAGUUGGCUUAGGCAUAAAAGUUCAGAACCCAGAAAUAUCACUAAGUCUGAAAAUUCAGAUUUGAGGAUAGGACUUUUGGGUCAAGUUCUCUAAUAGUUCCAUAUGGACUUAGGGCUUCAACACUUAAUAAAAGUUGUUCUCCUAUAGUUACUCUACAAUUUUACUAUAGCAACCUUUUGCUAAAAGCCCACAGAUUUUUUAAAAAAAUACAGGGAUCUAAAAUAGAUAAACCAAACUAUUUUUAGUUGAACCAAAACUAAGAUCUAAACGAGGUAUAACUGAAAACUCUAGAAGAUAAGCACAACAACAGCCCGCGAGCCCAAGAACCACCACGACGCUAACAUGCCGGACACGCGGCAGUGGAGUGACGGAAGGCACGACACGUGGUGAGGAGUUGGAGCGGUGGCCGAUUCAGAUAAACGAAAGGGAUAACGGCAGGGAGAUAAGAUGCGUCUGCGAAACUUCACAGAAACGAUGUUACGUGUCGCAAAUCGUAGGCAAGAAGUUAUGCACAGCCGCCCACAGAUUUGCACACGCCACGCGUGUCACGAUGUCUGGCCACAGAUAGACAUGUGCAACGCAAGCAUGAAAGAAUUUCAAACGAAUUUUAAGGAGCUACAUUUGAUUUCAAAAAUUAUAGUUUAGGUAAGACGUCGAUGGCUCAACCCAAACAAUAUUGGAUUCAAUAUUUCGGAAGAUUACUAAAGUCAGGAUUUUUACAAAAUAAAUUAGGACAAUUUAAACAGAUGGAGACAAACACGAUAUCAAAAUCGUGAUAGACAAAGAUGAUUAAAAUGUAGUGUCCACUUACAUUCACAGCUAUCACGUGUUAACGUCCACACUCGUGGUCGAGUAGACGAUAAACACCUGGGGUGUUACAGCCUUCCCCCCUUAAAAGAAUCUCGUCCCGAGAUUCAGAACGAAAGACUUCUAAGAGUAGAGAGGCGUAUAACCCUGUCCAUAAUAGUGAUAGCAUAAACUAAUUCCAAGCAAAGACGAGCAUCUCAAAAUGUUGCUUCUCUAGUGGGUAUAGCACAUACCACUUUAGUUUGACUAGAGACGUCAACAAACAAGCUAUAACUGACAGAAAACACAUAAGGUUCCAUGUGUGCAGUUUUCUUUUUCUAAUGACACUGUACUAUCUGGGUCUGUUGAGAACGGUGGACAAAUGGAUAGCAAUUACACAAACCAUGAAAGAUGCAACCUCUUGGGUAAAACACACAGAAAGAGGUUUACCAACAAGUGGUCAUUGGAAAUUCCUAGCACAUAAGACGAGGAUGAAUGUCGAAUAACAUCACAGUUAACUCGUGGUUAGCCAGGGAAUCCAAGUUUAAGGAAGAUGAUAAAAGUUUGAGAAAAUAUCAAUGUAGUGAUCCUCAAGGAGAGGCAAAUUGGAACAGGAAUACCAGCUUGCACCAACCGAACAAGGGUAUGGUUUAGGAUGAACAUUUGACCAUAAGAGAGCUACAAGUGGAUUGUCAAGAUUACAGACUCGAGAUCCUUGUUUUUAAGUUUGAGUGCAUCUCCAACAAGGGGAUUACUGAAACAUCUAUUUGCACGAGUUUGGCCAUGGAGUUGGAAGAUUUAGAGAGGCUUUGAAGAAAUGACAAAAUUAUGAAUUAGAUCUCAUACAAUUUCAAAUGUUGAGAUGAUGAGGACAUGACUUGGUCUAAUUGCUAGAACUCCAAUAAUCUUGUGAAGAAAAUGAUCUUCACACAAGACGACAUCUAGGAUAGGUUGUCAAGAAAAUUAAUAUAAAGUUAGAUUAAGGUUCACUAAACAGGGACAUGACCUAGCUUUGGGUUUAUGCAAACAAACUACCUGCAUUCUACCAGCACACAAGCACGAAAACAAACCCAAGUUGCACUAGCGGUCAAACUAAGAAGAAUCACAUGCCACAUAAACACAUGUCUAAAGGACGCAACAAACAAAGCUAGAAAUUGCUUAUAAAAC